rnacentral:rRNA from 1 species
AACGAACGCUGGCGGCAGGCCUAACACAUGCAAGUCGAGCGAGAUCUUCGGGUCUAGCGGCGGACGGGUGAGUAACGCGUGGGAAUAUGCCCUUUGCUACGGAAUAGUCCUGGGAAACUGGGGGUAAUACCGUAUACGCCCUUUGGGGGAAAGAUUUAUCGGCGAAGGAUUAGCCCGCGUUGGAUUAGGUAGUUGGUGGGGUAAUGGCCUACCAAGCCGACGAUCCAUAGCUGGUUUGAGAGGAUGAUCAGCCACACUGGGACUGAGACACGGCCCAGACUCCUACGGGAGGCAGCAGUGGGGAAUCUUAGACAAUGGGGGCAACCCUGAUCUAGCCAUGCCGCGUGAGUGAUGAAGGCCUUAGGGUUGUAAAGCUCUUUCAGCUGGGAAGAUAAUGACGGUACCAGCAGAAGAAGCCCCGGCUAACUCCGUGCCAGCCGCCGCCGUAAUAC